AAAAAAAAAAAAAAAAAAAAAAAGUGGGAAAGCUUCAAUCUAUUAUAUAAUCACGAAAAAAGUAUCCAUUUUUUUUUUUUUUUUUUCCGGUUCCAAUCCAUUUU
rnacentral:ribozyme from 15 species